rnacentral:lncRNA from 1 species
UCCUUCCCCUAAAAGAGGUGGUGAGAUCCUGUUUCACCUGCUUUCUCUUGGUUUUUUUCCUUCUCUUUCUCUACACACUCUCUCUCUCUCUCACUCUCUCGUUUGGGUGGAACCUAGAGAGUCUCUUCUCACCGACUUUGAUCCGGCCUUGAUAGAGGGGUCUUGAACCAUUCUAGUAGCCACACAACAUGUUGUCCCCCCAGCCCU